UACGUAGGGGGCUAGCGUUGUCCGGAUUUAUUGGGCGUAAAGAGCGUGUAGGCGCCAGGUAGGUCCGUUGUGAAAACUCGAGGCUCAACCUCGAGACGUCGGCGGAAACCCUCUGGCUAGAGUCCGGAAGAGGAGAGUGGAAUUCCUGGUGUAGCGGUGAAAUGCGCAGAUAUCAGGAAGAACACCCGUGGCGAAGGCGGCUCUCUGGGACGGUACUGACGCUGAGACGCGAAAAGCGUGGGGAGCAAACAGG
rnacentral:rRNA from 1 species